rfam:Archangium gephyra strain DSM 2261, complete genome.
GGUGGAGCCCGUGCCGGUUCCAUCCUUCCCACCCGGUACCUCGUACGGCCGGAGUGG